UGCAUCGGCCGGAAAUCGAACCGCGUGGCAGGCGAGCAUUUUACCACUGAACCAUCGAUGC
rnacentral:tRNA from 1 species